GUCCCUGUAGCACAAUGAAUAGGGCGUUGGACUUUUAAUCGAAAGGUCGUGGAUUCAAAUCCCACCUGGGAUG
rnacentral:tRNA from 1 species